UACGUAGGGGGCAAGCGUUUGUCCGGAAUCAUUGGGCGUAAAGCGCGUGUAGGCGGUCCGGUAAGUCCGCUGUGAAAGUCGGGGGCUCAACCCUCGGAUGCCGGUGGAUACUGUCGGGCUUGAGUACGGAAGAGGCGAGUGGAAUUCCUGGUGUAGCGGUGAAAUGCGCAGAUAUCAGGAGGAACACCAAUUGCGAAGGCAGCUCGCUGGGACGUUACUGACGCUGGAGACGCGAAAGCGUGGGGAGCAAACAGG
rnacentral:rRNA from 1 species